ensembl:lncRNA
ACAAAUGUUGAAAUUAUCCCAACUCGGUGUUUUCUAAUGGAGGUAAGUGGUUCCUGUAUUGAGGGGAAAAGAAACAACAAUUUCUUCCUAUGUGACUCUCUUCUUAGUUGCAUUGCUUUCUUUUCAAUUAGGAUGACAUAUUCUAAGUUAGAAUCAUGCAUAUUACUUUAAUCAAAGAGCAGCUAUAGGUUUUUAACUGUACUUUUCAUUCCUGAGUCAUAUCUACAGGACGCGUUAGCUCUAUGUGUUUCUCCACAUUGAGAUACUUCAGGGACUUUUUUAAUGUGUGACAGCCAUAUCAGAAUCACCAAGUGAAGAUGGUGAAGAAAGAAAAAAUGUUUGAAGAAAAUCAUUGACAACUCGCAGCUCGAUUGCACUCAACAACUGAGUCAGGAACUGGAUGGCAAAUACAGUUUAUAAUACCACAUGUUAACCAAGUUCAUCAGAAAUUGACGCUGGGUCUGGAAGUAUCUGAAUGGCAGCAGGGCAGUGUGCAGGGGGACAGGCACCUCGUCAGUACUGGGAACUCUGAGGCGGCCUACAACAGAGCCUAAACACAAGACCUUGAUGGUGAAAAAAGCUUAAGCAGAAAUGCAAGCAACUCUAAACUGACUGGAAAGCGGAGCGUGCACUUUGACACACACACUGUGUGCCUGCAGGAUGGGGAACAGGAGCUGGUUGGAGUUGACUUUCCUGAUUUAUUGCUUAAGCCUGAAUUACUUAUGCUUUUUAGGGUUGAUGUCUCAUCAUCACUGUUGGGUUCCCCAGGAUCCAACAAGGUGCCAGAGUUUAGGAGGAUUGCAAGCUAAAGUGGCUGUGAGUAGGUUUCUUCCAGAAAAAAUGUCUGAGAGAAAAAGGAAGGGAUAUGCUGCUGCUCUCCUUGACAGGACAAAGAUAUCCUUGUGUGGGAAACAACAUUCAUCCCUAUGUCAAAUAGACAUGUUUAUUGGAAUAGAGUAUUUAAAUCUCUGCAUAGACAUAGAUGGAAACCAGCAGCCCUAACAAGGAUGACAGGAAUUACAGAUCAUCCUGAAUGCAAUCACACGGCAUGUGCUAGAUAACCAGGGAAUCAUGCCUAGCCAACGUGGGUUCAUGAAAGGCAGGUUGUGCUUGACCAGCCUCAUCUUCUCCUAUAUGAGGUGACCCACCUGGUUUAGCAAAACCAUGUGCCAGGUCCUGCACUUUAGUUACAACAAACCCAAGUGAUAGUAUAGGCUUGGGGUAGAGUGGCUGGAAGGUUGUAUGGAGAAAAAGGAUCUGGGGGUGUUAGUCAAUGUUAUGCUGAACGUGAGCCAGCGAUGCACACAGGUGGCCAAGAAGGCCAGAGGCAUCCAGGGUUGCAUCAGAAAUAGAGCACCCAGUGGGAGCAGGGAAGCGAUCUUUCCUCUAUCAGCUCUGGUGAGGCUGCAUCUCGAGUACCAAGUUCAGCUUUGGGCCCUCACUAUAAGUACGUCACUGAAGCCCUGGAACAUGUCCAGAGAGUGGCAGUGAACCUGUGAAGGGUCUGGAGCACAAAUCUUAUGGGGAGCAGCUGAGGGAACUGGGAUUGUUCAGUCUGGAGAAGAGGAGGCUCAGGAGAGACCUUUUCAUCAUCUACAACUCCCUGAAAGGAGGCUGUGAUGAGGUGGGAGUUGUCUUCUUCUCCCAGGUAACAGCGAUAGAAUGAGUGGGAAUGGCCUCAGGUUAUUCCAGGGGAAGUCCAGGUGGGCAUUAGGAAAAUCUCUGAAGGAGUCACCACUGGCACAGGCUGCCCAGGUAAGUGGUGGAGUCACUGUCCAUGGAGGUGUUCAAGAAACGUGGAGAUGUGGUACUUAGGAACAUUGUUUAGUGGGCAUUUUUAGUGGUAAGUUGGACUAGAUGAUCUUAGAGGUCUUUUCCAGCCAUUGUGAUUCUAUGAUUACAUGAAUGCAUUAAAAAAAAAAAGGAAGUAGAAGGUGAUUUCACCAAUGCUGUCAUCAGCAUUUUCCCUAAGGAAAAAUAAACAAAGUAAAAUCAGCUAUCA